GCUGUUUGCUGGCGGGUACCUGAAGGCAUCACUGGUUGUGAAAGGAGUGGGAGGAAGGUGCUUCCAGGGGUCCAGAGCUCAUUUUGGGCCCAGUCCCCCGUGUGUUAUUCUGAUCGUGAGUCAGAUUGAAAAUUUAUGAAAAGCCUUUUAUGCCGUAAUAAUAAAUCUCUCCCAGUGCACUUUACGUCUGUUGCCAUGGAAAUGUCUGACAGGAAGCUUGUCUCUCCACUCAUCCUCCAUCCCUCUUUUAAUCCUUGUGUCUCCUGCAUCAGCAGGUUCAUGCUGUGUUCACGUAAACGGGCCCUGCAGGUUGUAAUCUUAUCGAUAUGAGGUUCAUUCUCCUCCACUCUGAUUUAUGAAGGUUAGUAAGUGAGGUAUUAAAUGCUGGUUUGGGAAGGGAAACUCAAGGGAAAGCUCAUGACAGAUGUUGGUUUAUGGAACCAUCACAGGUCUCGUUACUCUUGUUCCAUCAGGAGUGACAUUCCAUGUUGGCAUUUUGUCUUUUAAACAUUAAAGCUAAAAAUAGAGUCCAAGCUGAUUCUCUGGCCGACCUGUAACCAUAAACUACAUCCUGUCACCAUGCAGAGGCUGUCGUCAGGGUAACAGACAACAGGAUGACAUCAUCUCUACAAAUGUGUGUGCUUUGAACCUUGGUGACCUCUGGACCUCCGCUCAUCCUGAAGGGGGUGAACCCCUCCUUUCCCAGCAGCCUCUGUUCCUCCAGAGGACACUGUUGUCACCACAGACACAAAAUGUUCAUCCACACAAAUUACGGCUGAGUGUCACUUAGUAUUCAGAGCCUGUUCAGCCUGAUUUGUUCAAUUACACAGGACACAAGCCAUGUUCCUGAGGACACGCAAUGGCAAGAGGCCCAUCAUCCCACCUCCCGUGCCCAGAACCAGGAGCUCAAACGUGUCCUCACGCAGCGAGUCCACAGCUGCUCUGUCAUCAGCUGGGACUGGGUUAAAGCCAUGAUGUCACCGCUUCCUGUGACCUCACAGCAGACAUUUCUGCCGUCAGAGACCAACACAAAGCAGGAUGGGAGCACAUGUGAUGUGAAUUACCAGAGGCAGUGGGAGGUCAGAAUGUCCAGUGAACAACAUUUUCAAUGUGGAACAGAGCUGAAGAGGAGACAUGGAAGGAGUCUGAAGCCUGAGAACUGAUGGUUCAUUUGUUUUGUGAACUUUGUCUGUUUCUUGCUUAUUGUUGUUGUAUUGUUGAUCAUUAAAAAAACA